rnacentral:misc_RNA from 1 species
CUGCCACUUUUUUUCUUAAUCUCUUCAAUGGUAUACAACAAAUAGUUGCAGCCUUGAUCAUUAUUCCCAGGUGACAUUAAAUUUUUCACAGGGGCUGCAACAAUAAUACUGUUGUUAUUGAUCACAAAUCUGAACAAAGGAAGUCCAUUCCUCAUAGUAAGCAACAGAUGAGCUUUUAUGCUUGAUGCCUCACGCUCUUUGUUUUGAUGUGAUUCAGUAUUGUUAAUUGGCUUAAAGCUGUAGGAAUUCAGGCUUCCUCUGAAUAGUUGAUCAGUUUGAGCAGAAGGAUUUGGAGUUAAACCCUUGGACUUUAGCAAUGGAUCCAAUAAUCUUCUUAAAGGGCUGGAUUUGGAUCUAUGACAACUUGCUUUCUCUCUGUUUGAAUCAUCCAAACCAGCAGAAGCUUUGGAUAACACUGGACCAGACUUCACCGAAACAUGUGUGGAAGUCAACCGUGGAACAGCUGAACUCUCCUUGAAGCUAAAACUUCUGGUCAUCUGACCUAAGCUGAAGCUAAAUCGGCGAUUUGGUGAAGGAUGUCUGCCUUUUCUAGCUGCC